rnacentral:rRNA from 1 species
UACGUAGGGUGCAAGCGUUAAUCGGAAUUACUGGGCGUAAAGCGUGCGCAGGCGGUUAUGUAAGACAGAUGUGAAAUCCCCGGGCUCAACCUGGGAACUGCAUUGUGACUGCAUAGCUAGAGUACGGUAGAGGGGGGAUGGAAUUCCGCGUGUAGCAGUGAAAUGCGCAGAUAUCAGGAGGAACACCGAUGGCGAAGGCAGCUCGCUGGGACGG